AUCUUCCUUGUCUUGGGGAGCAGAAAUGUCCAAUGAACGUCUAGUGAGGACAUUGCUGCUGACACCAAUGAUAUAACAAAAAACCCCCGUUCGCUGAUCUUCGAUCGGCGCUCGGAAUUUUUGGAAAUAGACUCCCUUACUUUAUAGGGGGUCGU
rnacentral:ncRNA from 1 species